GACGAACCGUGCGAACGUUCUUCGGAAUCACUGGGCUUAAAGCGCGUGUAGGCGGGAGGGCACGUCCGUUGCUGAAAUCCCCCGGCUCAACCGGGGAACGGGCGCGGAUACGACUCUCCUUGAGGGGCGUAGGGGGACCUGGAACUUCCGGUGGAGCGGUGAAAUGCGUUGAGAUCGGAAGGAACGCCCGUGGCGAAAGCGAGGUCCUGGACGCCUACUGACGCUGAGACGCGAAAGCCAGGGGAGCGAACAGG
rnacentral:rRNA from 1 species